rnacentral:rRNA from 1 species
CCUACGGGUGGCUGCAGUGGGGAAUAUUGGACAAUGGGGGGAACCCUGAUCCAGCCAUGCCGCGUGUGUGAAGAAGGCCCUCGGGUUGUAAAGCACUUUCAGUGAGGAAGAACGCCUGGUGGUUAAUACCCAUCAGUAAAGACAUCACUCACAGAAGAAGCACCGGCUAACUCCGUGCCAGCAGCCGCGGUAAUACGGAGGGUGCGAGCGUUAAUCGGAAUUACUGGGCGUAAAGCGCGCGUAGGUGGCUUGAUAAGCCGGUUGUGAAAGCCCCGGGCUCAACCUGGGAACGGCAUCCGGAACUGUCAAGCUAGAGUGCAGGAGAGGAAGGUAGAAUUCCAGGUGUAGCGGUGAAAUGCGUAGAGAUCGGGAGGAAUACCAGUGGCGAAGGCGGCCUUCUGGACUGACACUGACACUGAGGUGCGAAAGCGUGGGUAGCAAACAGGAUUAGAUACCCUUGUAGUC